UUGAUGCGAGUUGCCACAGUGAUACAGUAGAUUGGAGUGUAUUCAUCAGGCAUAUUGGGAGGCUGUACUGUAGCUGAGACAAAAUGCAUAUUUUAGUAAUAAUUCUGACUAACGGAUUCCUCUUGGGACUGGAUGCAGAAAAAAUUGGUCAGCCUCCUUUGAUUAAUUCACCUGAGGGAGACAAAGCUGUACUGACAUGCAGCCAUGAUAUUACAAACUCAAAUUCUAUGUUCUGGAUUAACUGCAGGUGAUGACAUCAGUCCUGAUGAGCAUGAAGUUUCCAGUAACGGAAGUGGAGGUCAUAGCUGCGACAGCAUUGUAUCUACCAUUUUGGUUUAUAAGUUAAACAUUCACAUAUUUUGGAAAUAAUCAGUAAUUUCUUGAGAAAUGUCACAUCAUUUAUCCAAUUAUUUAAUGUGUUAUGUCUUUAAAAAGUUUUAAUAAGACAAUGACUGGAUAAUAUAAAUUUGUUAUCUAAAUAUCUAUUUGAAAUCUACAGUUCAAUCAGUUUCAAUCUAUGUUAUACAAUUUAAGAUCCAAGCAUUUUUAUUAACAAUCUUAUAAAAAGCAUUGAUACAUUUAUAUUUUUGAUACUGUACUGUAUCUCGGUGAACACUGGCAAAAUUAUAGCCCAUGAGUUCUGUUCUACUUCGUAUUAGUUGCUGAAGGUUAAAUCAAACACAUCUAAGAGAUGAUUUAUAAUAAAGCUGGAAUCACAUAAUUUAUGGACUAAAUCAUUCAAACUCUUAGACACAGGCAUUUUUUGGGAUUAAAAAUAUUGUUUAUAUUCAU